rnacentral:rRNA from 1 species
UGCGUAGGCGGGCAUGUAAGUCCGUGGUGAAAUCUCCGAGCUUAACUCGGAAACUGCCAUGGAUACUAUGUGUCUUGAAUGUUGUGGAGGUGAGCGGAAUAUGUCAUGUAGCGGUGAAAUGCUUAGAUAUGACAUAGAACACCAAUUGCGAAGGCAGCUCACUACACAAAUAUUGACGCUGAGGCACGAAAGCGUGGGGAUCAAACAGGAUUAGAUACCCUGGUAGUCCACGCCCUAAACGAUGAUUACUCGACAUACGCGAUACACAAUGUGUGUCUGAGCGAAAGCAUUAAGUAAUCCACCUGGGAAGUACGACCGCAAGGUUGAA